GAUGAACGCUGGCGGCGUGCCUAAUACAUGCAAGUCGAGCGAAGCGGGGACGGGUGUGUAACACGUGGAUAACCUCCUAUAAGACUGGGAUAACUUCGGUCAACCGUACCUAAACCGGAUCCUUAUAGACGGAUCUGCGCGGCAUUAGCUAGUUGAUACGGUAACGGCUUACCAAGGCAACGAUGCAUAGCCGACCUGAGCGGUUGAACGGCCACACUGGAACUGAGAAACGGUCCAGACUCCUACGGGAGGCAGCAGUAGGGAAGCUUCCGCAAUAGGCGAAAGCCUGACGAAGCAACGACGCGUGAGUGAUGAAGGUCUUCGGAUCGUAAAAGUCUGUUAUUAGGGAAGCGGUACCUAGUCAGAAAGCCACGGCUAACUACGUGCCAGCAGCCGCGGUAAUUC
rnacentral:rRNA from 1 species